rnacentral:rRNA from 1 species
GAUGAACGCUAGCGGCAGGCUUAACACAUGCAAGUCGAGGGGCAGCAUAGAUUGCUUGCAAUCUGAUGGCGACCGGCGCACGGGUGCGUAACGCGUAUGAAACCUACCUAAUACAGGGGGAUAGCCCAGAGAAAUUUGGAUUAAUACCCCAUGGUACUGUUGGAUCGCAUGAUUCAAUAGUUAAAGAUUUAUCGGUAUUAGAUGGUCAUGCGUUCUAUUAGUUAGUUGGAAAGGUAACGGCUUCCCAAGACAUCGAUAGAUAGGGGCCCUGAGAGGGGGAUCCCCCACACUGGUACUGAGACACGGACCAGACUCCUACGGGAGGCAGCAGUGAGGAAUAUUGGACAAUGGAGGCAACUCUGAUCCAGCCAUGCCGCGUGAAGGAAGACUGCCCUAUGGGUUGUAAACUUCUUUUAUAGAGGAAGAAACGCAGAUACGUGUAUUUGUUUGACGGUACUCUACGAAUAAGGAUCGGCUAACUCCG